UACGGGGGGGAGCAAGCGUUGUUCGGAUUUACUGGGCGUAAAGGGCGCGUAGGCGGCUUAACAAGUCACUUGUGAAAUCUCCGGGCUUAACUCGGAACGGCCAAGUGAAACUGUCAAGCUAGAGUGCAGAAGGGGCAAUCGGAAUUCUUGGUGUAGCGGUGAAAUGCGUGGAUAUCGUGAGGAACACUAGUGGCGAAGGCGGAUGUCUGGACAGUAUCUGACGCUGAGGCACGAAGGCCAGGGGAGCGAACGGG
rnacentral:rRNA from 1 species